rnacentral:rRNA from 1 species
GUGUCAGCCGCCGCGGUAAGACAGAGGGCGCGAGCGUUGUUCGGAAUUACUGGGCGUAAAGCGCGCGUAGGCGGAUCGGCAAGUCCGGAGUGAAAUCCCGCCGCUCAACGGCGGGGCUGCUUUGGAAACUGCAGGUCUAGGGAGCGGUAGAGGUCGGUAGAAUUCCCGGUGUAGCGGUGGAAUGCGUAGAGAUCGGGAAGAAUACCCGUGGCGAAGGCGGCCGACUGGGCCGUCUCCGACGCUGAUGCGCGAAAGCGUGGGGAGCAAACAGGAUUAGAUACCCGUGUAGUCC